rnacentral:rRNA from 1 species
ACGUGACGCCAGUUGCGUUGGAGCCGUCCUUGAAAUACCACCCUUGUAUGUUUGAUGUUCUAACUUAGACCCGUUAUCCGGGUUGAGGACAGUGCCUGGUGGGUAGUUUGACUGGGGCGGUCUCCUCCCAAAGAGUAACGGAGGAGCACGAAGGUGGGCUAAUCACGGUUGGACAUCGUGAGGUUAGUGCAAUGGCAUAAGCCCGCUUAACUGCGAGAAUGACGGUUCGAGCAGGUGCGAAAGCAGGUCAUAGUGAUCCGGUGGUUCUGUAUGGAAGGGCCAUCGCUCAACGGAUAAAAGGUACUCCGGGGAUAACAGGCUGAUACCGCCCAAGAGUUCAUAUCGACGGCGGUGUUUGGCACCUCGAUGUCGGCUCAUCACAUCCUGGGGCUGAAGUCGGUCCCAAGGGUAUGGCUGUUCGCCAUUUAAAGUGGUACGCGAGCUGGGUUUAGAACGUCGUGAGACAGUUCGGUCCCUAUCUGCCGUGGGCGUUGGAAGAUUGAAGGGGGCUGCUCCUAGUACGAGAGGACCGGAGUGGACGAACCUCUGGUGUUCGGGUUGUGUCGCCAGACGCAUUGCCCGGUAGCUAAGUUCGGAAUUGAUAAGCGCUGAAAGCAUCUAAGCGCGAAGCGAGCCCUGAGAUGAGUCUUCCCUGAUACUUUAAGUAUCCUAAAGGGUUGUUCGAGACUAGAACGUUGAUAGGCAGGGUGUGUAAGCGUUGUGAGGCGUUGAGCUAACCUGUACUAAUUGCCCGUGAGGCUUAACCAU